rnacentral:lncRNA from 1 species
CUUGACCCUUGGGCCGCCCCUGCUUGUAGCUCACUCUCUAGUAACCAUUCUUGCUAGGGUUUUUCUUAUCAGUUCUACUUGAAAGAGCCCUUCCCCUGCUGCGUCCUCCUUGUUGCGUCAUGUUGCUGCUGAUCGGAGAAGAACCAGUAAGAACUUUAUCUUCAAUUUCUUUACCCGGUUGCUUCUUCACUAAAUUAUGAAAAAUCAAUUUCUGUGAUUGUCUUUUAUUAGUGAAGUACUUAAUUGGGUAUAAGUAUCUUAAAUUCUUGGUUGAAUACAUACGCCGCCUCUUAAACUUGUCCGAAUUUUUCAUUUAAACACUCGAACUAAAAGAGAAAAAGAGAAAUCGCUUGAUUUUGGGCCUUUAAAAAAUUGUAGACUAAAGUCAUAUACAGAGAGUGUCUUAUACUUUGGAGAGAAAAAAUUAGAAGAAAAUAAAGAAUGCAGAUAUAAUGUGAUUUUGUGGUGUUAUGCAAAAUCGCCAAAUUGAGAUAUUAUGGCCAUAACAUGCUAUGCUUUCUGUGCUCGUUUAUGUGAUAUACACAACUGUGGAUGCUAAAAAUUUUACAAGUUAAAUAGAAAUACAUCAAUAGGCUAUAACUAUUUUAUUUUGUGAACAGUCCCCCUACCUUUACAAAUUACAAUUGUGCACUGUAGCAGGAAAGAUCACUACAACAGAGAAAGAGCAUAGUUUUGCUUAAUAGUUUGAUAAAGAAAAAAAUUGGAGUGCCUUGAAAGCUACUUGAAAUUGUUAUUUGUCCUCGUCCUGGUACUGAAAAAUUGAUUAGUCAGGCCCUGAAAUUUGGGCCACUACAAAUCUAACAACCAUAUAUAGUACAUGGUAGGAUUUCUAUAGUAGGUAGUUAGCUCUCUUCUUUUAUGUUAUAUGGUGUUGGUUCUUAUUUGAUGAUUUCUUAGCAUUAGCUUGGUUAUAAGAACUUUUUUAUAUCAUUCAUUGCUGCCCAAAUUUUUUUUUUUUGAUAUGUACUUGUUUACUUUAUAGUUUUCUUUUAUAAAAAAUAUAAUUAUAAUUUAUCUUUUUUAGUAGGAUGAGGAUGAGUAAAGCAACAUAGCUAACAAUAUGGUUCAUCUAAAGAUCAGGCUAUUAGAAGAAGAUUUACUUUUUGGGUUGUUAUUAGAUUAGAAAUAAUGACCUGUAGAUGCUUUUUUUUAAAAGUAAGAACAUGUGUUUUAGUAGUACUUAGUUUUUUAAAGUAUGUAAAUACUUAGUGCAUCAGUUGUAUUGACCUUUGCAAAUAUAUAUAUCAUGUAUUAAUUUAUAUAUAUUUGUGAUAUUUUAAAAGAAAAUGUGAAUUGUGUAUGUAACAACUAUUUUGUGUGCAGACGAGGACUAUAAAUAUGAUGGAUAUUAAUUGAAUAUGAUAAUAAGUGUAUGAGGUGUAUUUGAAGUAAUAUAGGGCAUAAGGAGAGCCCUUGGAACAAAUCAAGUUUGAAAUUACAUGAUAGACUAAAGUUCCAAAUGAGUAUACACAAGACCUAACUUUGAAUGAGCAUAUCUAUAUAUAUAUAUAUAUAUAUAUAUAUAUAUAAAGCGUUAUGCAAUGUACAACCUAUAAAAUAAAAAAUUUUCGAGUCUAGUUUUCUAUUUUCUAACUCUUCAAACUGUUUUUCAUUUGGAUAUUCCUACAAGAAGUUAAGACCAAAUUACCAAAGGCUGGCAGAGGAGUGAACUGGGGAUGCGAAGCAUCCGGAGCCGCGUCCGAAAGAAAGGCUGGCAGUGAAGUACAGCCAUAGCAUCCGGGUCCGCAUCCGAGCUUCAAAGAGGAGUGAACUGGGGAUGCGAAACAUUCGGGGCCGUCCAAAACCCAGAAAUCUAGGCCUAUAAAUACAAAAUCGGGAAAAUAUAGUAUUUUGUGUAUUGGGGGUUAGGGUUCUUGAGGCGAAGAGGUAAUUUUGAGCUCAAAUUAAGUCC